GGCCUGGACUACUUAGUAGAACUCUGUGCCAAAAAAAUAAAAUAAAAAUAAAAAAAAAAUCGAAGGACAAUUGAACUUAUGAAAAAGCCUGAGUGUCAUUUAAUCAACUUACAGUUCUUGUCAAUAUUGGUGGGGUUACUUCUGAAUUAGUUUACAUUAAUUGUAUAAAAUGAAUAAAUAAUGUAUUUAUGAGCUGAGAUUUUCUACAUAAGAAAAAGGAGAGCUAUAAUUGUAGAAUUAAGAAAGUUAAAUAAGCCAGGCAGUGGUGGUGCACGCCUUUAAUCCCAGCACUUGGGAGGCAGAGACAGGCGGAUUUCUGAAUUUGAGGCCAGCCUGGUCUACAAAGUGAGUUCCAGGACAGCCAGGGCUAUACAGAGAAACCCUGUCUCAAAAAAAAAAAAAAAAAAAAAAAAAAAAAGAAAGUUAAAUAAAAGCCCAUAUGUUAAGAUGAAAUUAUCACUAUGAACUCAAUUUUAUUUCUUUCAAAAUAAAUACUACGGCCUCGUUCUUUCUACUAAAAAUGACUAGAACCAUUAAUUAGCCAGUAAUAGAGAAUAUCCUAGUGAUGAUCCUGAGACUCUAAAUGCCUUUCCCUACUUCCCCCCCAAAAGAAAUCAGAGUUCAAUCAAGAAGGUAUAUGUACAACUUUAUAAUAUAUCCUCUACAAAAAUGUCAAAAAUUCAAAUAUUUUUAUAUUAUCAGUGUCGUAAUAAACGGAUUGACAAGUUGAGGAAGUCCCUUGGUUUUGUUUGUUUGUUUGCUUGUUUUAAUCUUACUUGUAUAAGUAUUUUGCAUGAGUAUAUGUAUGUAUGUGUACUUCAUACAUGCCUGGUGCCCACGGAGGUCAGAAAAGGAUAUUGGAUCCCAUGAAACUGGAAUCACAAAUAAUUGUGAGCCUCCAUGUGAGUGCUGAGAACUGAGCAUGCGUCCUCUACAAGAGCAGCAAGUGCUCUUAACUGCUGAACCAUUUCUCCUUCCCUGCCACCCUUUCAGUUCUAAUCAGAGCUAACACGUUGUCAUUGUGUGUGUGUAUUAAGUUUGUCCUCACCUCUCGUUAAUUCUGACCCCUCACAUGUGAAAUUUCAUCUGAGAAGAUGCCCUCUUGUCCUGAUGUGACUGUCCUGGUUGUUUCAUUCUUUCUCUUUCUGUUAACUCUGUAAGCUGCGGUUAGCAGCGCUGCCUCCUUUAGGAACUGUCUCUGCAGCUCUCACACGUGCUUUCUCAGAUUCGAUGCAUUCCUCCUGGCCUUUGAACUCUAUAAACACAGGAUGCAUACAUUUGAAAUGCCUGGUUAUUUCUCUGUUGUUCACACCAUCUAUUUGAGAGACUUUUAAAAUGUAACAUAUUAUAGAAUCCUGCUUCACUGCUUUUGGGAAGACCUUUAUGAACCCUUAAGGUUUGUAUAUAGAAUUUUAUAAAGGGAAACUCCAAUAAUGAAACUUUUUCUGGUGAUUACUGACCUAAAAGGUAAUUGCUUAAAGCAAAGUAAAUGAAAUCUGGAUGGCUACAAUUUGAAUAACCUUACAGUGUUGUCACUUGUGCUGCAUAAAGAAUUGUGCCUGUCUGUGUUCCUUUUAAUCAUCUGGGUUUUAACCUUGAAAACUUAAUUGUUUGUAAUUUCUUGUGUGAUAUCGCCCUAUCACAUAGCCCGCAUAACUGGCCAUGGUUGUAAUUUAUUAUAUGUAAGAACAAGUCUUCCAGGAGAUUGUAGUUUCUUUCACCUGACUUAAUUUGUAAGCUGAUUUUUACUGCUUUGUUCUGUACACACGCAGAUUAUCAUGACAAUAGCAGAGGAUUUGCUGUGUUCCGCUGCUCAAAACAGCCGCCUGUCACUUCAGCGCACACAAGCGGGAUGGCUGUUGGUUGCUGCUCUCAUGACGCUAGGUAACAGUUCCUUGGAGGGUUUCCAUAAUAAUGAAAUAAUUGUGUUUCUGGAUCGAAAGGUUGCUGUUAGUGUGUAUCAGAAUUUAAAUAACCACUAAAACAUUUUUCUUAUAUUGGCUUUAAGACGAUAUCCUGGCAGGCAAGCCUUUGAUCCUGGUACUCAGGAGGCAGAGACAGACAGCUCUCUGAGUUCAAGGGCAGCCAUGGCUGUCUCAAAGAGCAACACCAAAAGAUACCCUGACACAAACCAGUCACUUCAGCCCAGAGUUCAACAUCAACCUGGGUGACACAGGGUUAUCUAAAAAUCAAGAAGCCAAGUGAACAUUUACUAACUUUACUCCCUAAAAGUAUUUGCAGGUAUCUGCUGGUUUCUCUUCUAAACUAAUUUAUAAGCCAUAAGUAGGAUAAACACAUUUGAUCAUUUUUCAAGCUUAAAAUCACUCAGACAUGUCCUAAAAUCAUUCACGUCCAUCUUUAUAAGUUUUCUGCAGCUAUAAGGAUAGGCAAGAAACCCCCUCAUGGCCUUGCAAAUCCACCUCUGUAGCUGUUUUUAGAUCCCUGACACCUAGUGGGGUUCUACGCAGUAUUAAAGGAAGUGGAGCUUGCUUAAGUUGUUAAUAAAAAAAAAUCAGUAAUUGUUUUGUGGGCAUGGCUACUUACACCAAGUAACUAUGAGACUUUAAAUAUUACUACUUUAUCACAAUUGUAUUUUAAAUUUCUUCUUUUCAUUAGUAGAAGGAUAUAAAACAACUGGUAAGUUUAGUUAAUGAGUCAUUGUGGAUAGAAAGUCAUUUGAUAUAAAAAGAACUUACAUAAGUGAUUUUUUUUUUUUUUUGGUUUUUCGAAACAGGGUUUCUCUGUAUAGCCUUGGCUGUCCUGGAACUCACUCUGUAGACCAGGCUGGCCUCGAACUCAGAAACGCACCUGCCUCUGUCUCCCGAGUGCUGGGAGUAAAGGCGUGUGCCACCACGCCCAGCUACAUAAGUGAUCUUUAGGAAAGAGCAACGCUAAUAUUUUUUAAGGUUAUUAAAGAAACUUACUAGACUAAAGAAUUUAUUGAAUCGGUUCACCUGGCUUGGUAUGUGAUAUGGGCUUAUUAUGUUUUGUAUAUUUUAUUUUGUUUGUUUAUUUCUUUGCCACCUAAUUUUAUAUAGUCCCAGCUAAAAAAUGGCAGGAGUGUCUGGUGUGGCUCUGGCCAUCUGAGGUGCUCACAGAGUGUAGCUCAUUAUUCUGCAGUACGGUGGCUGUACACCAGCAGGCUUUCAUCUGCUCCUCACGUGACGCUCGCUUCUUUUGCCUGCCGUGCUGAUGAUGCUGAUGGGUUAACAGGAAAAUUUAAUUUUUGUACAGAUUUUUUUUCUUUUUUGUGUAUAGGCAUUUAGCUUGCGGAUAUAUGUGUAACAUAUGCAUGCUUGGUACAUACAGAGGACAGAAGAGGGUGUUAGAGCUCCUAGAACUAAAGUUACAAAUGGGUGUAAACUGCCUUGUAGGUGCUGGGAACAGAAUCUGGGCUCUCUGGACAAGCAGCCAGUGCUCUUAACACUGAGCCAUCUCCCCAGACCCCUCUCCUAUGAUUAUUCAGUAUUUGUGUAUAGGGAUAUAUACCUAUGUAUGUGUGUAUGUGUGUGCGUAAUUCAACUUGAAGACCUCAGAGAAUAUCACAUAUUUUCCUCUAUUUCUCUACCUUUUUCAUUUGAGACAGGGUCUGUUUUUGAACCUGGGGCUGGUGGAGUUUUUCUGUGGUUGGUUGGUUGGUUGGUUGGUUGGUUGGUUGGUUGGUUUUGGUAAGCUAGCAGCCAGCAAACCCUGAUGUCUCUCCUUUUCCAUGACACUCAGUGUUGUAUUCUAGGCCAUGGGGACACCCUCAUCUCUUACAUGGGUCCUGGGAUCCAAAUUCCAAUCCUCAUACUUAUGCAGUGGGAACUCUAUAGCCCUGAGUUUUCUCCUGGCCUUAGUAAAUUCAGUAUCUGGAUAUAACCUUGUAUAUCCAAUGCCAUUGCACUGGAGGAAGGCUGUACAAUGUUCUUUUCUUAAACAACAACAACAUCAGAAAGAUGAGUAAGUCUGCCAUGGUUGUAGAGGGGGCUGAACUGAGAUAGGAGGAUUGCAUAUUUGAGGUUGGCCUGGGCUAGAGAACAAGAGCUUAUGUUAGAGAGAGAGGGGGAGAGGGAGAGGGAGAGAUUGACUUAGGCAUUUUAUAAUCACUAUAUAAAAGUUUUUACUUCUUAUGAGUAUUUUUAUUGUGUUUUCUUGAACUCUAUUUUAUAUGUAUUUUUGUAUGCCCCCACCCCACCCCUCUGCCUUUGUGGUGUUUGUUGCAGUAUAUGUGUAUGUUUGUGCAGAUGCACAUGUAGGAGAGGUGGGCAUGGGUGUGGAUAAAAUAAAUUGACACCUGGUAUCACAGUCAUUCUCCACUGUGUCUUUAGAAACAGCGUAUCAUUGAAUCUGGAGCCUCCUGUUUUGGCUGGACUGGCUGCCAGCUCCAGGACUUCCCCCUCCCCCACUGGUUACACACACUGUGCCAAGCCAUGCUAACAUAGGUUCUCAUGUUCGUUCUGCAAACUCAUAACAACUGAGCUAUCUCCCUGGCCCCUAUUUGUUUCAUUUGUUAUCAGAAAUUUUUAGAAUAUUCUAAAAUCCUAGAGGGAUUUACUCAGUGGUAGAGAGUUGCCUAGCAUGCAUGAAACCCUGAGUUCAAUAUCCAGUACUGCAAAAAUUAAUAAAUAAAAUCCUAGCAGCUUCUAAAGGUGUAUGACUGUUUUAGAUACCAUUACAAACUCAUGGAAUAUUACAUAUUUGUAUGUUUCAAACCAAUGCAGUCAUUAUUCCUCUUGACCCAUAUCUUUGGCAAGCUGAAAGCCCAACAGUUUAUUCACAUGCCUUCUUAAUGUGACCCUGGCCUUCUUUGGUGUUCGCAUUAUAAAGUGCCCUGGGUGCUGGACAUUUUCCCAAAGCUUGCAGUUGCUACUCUUCUUUUUAAUCAAGUCUCGAUUCUUUGAUUUUCUUAAUUAUUUUAUUUUGAUGUGUAAUGGUGGGUGUGAUGGUGUGUAUCUCUUUAAGCUGAGCAGUUGGGAGGCAGAGACAGGCAGCUCUCUGUGAGUUUGAAGCCAACCUGGUCUACAUAACAACUUCCAGGACAGCCAGAGUUACAUAGAGAAACCCUGCCUU
rnacentral:lncRNA from 1 species